CCCAACAAUCUGGGUCCUCAUUUAUAAUGGAUGGAAGGCUGAAUCAACCUUGACUCUGGUGAGAUUUGAUCUGCCAAACUGUUGGCAGCUGGUGAUCAGCAGAAGUAGCAGUAGCAGGAGUGCAGUAUUGCACUCCAUGGCUAAUACCUAAAUCCUGCCUCUUUUACAUCAGUACCCUGGAUGGUACGACAAAACGAUCUUCUUUGAUCUCCCCCAGAUCUGUUUUCUGGAAAAAAAAACUUAGUGAAGAAAGAAGAGAUUUAUCUGGAUACAUGGUGCCCUUCUUGUCUAUUCAUUACCAGUUGGUUCAUUUUCCUUACUUUAUGGAAUACAUUCGAAUUGAAAUUAUUGGGAUUUUAAAAACCCUCCAGUCUCUGGUUUGGCAGGCUGGAGAGUGUUGUAUUACAUGGUGUGACCUUGGACCAGCCAGUAGCUCUCAUGGGAUGGCACGAGUUUCCAGGGAAGGACUGGUGUAACCAAGUAAACAAGGAUGAUUCCAAUCUGCACAGUUGUUGAUACAAAGAACUCUGGAUCCCUGAGUUAAUUCCACAUUCUCAUUGUAGAAUGUACAUCUGUAGAGAAUGCUGUAAAAAUAAAUAUUUUCAUCAUUA